GCCCUGGUGGUGGAAUUGGUAGACACGCCAUCUUGAGGGGGUGGUGGGAUAACUCCCGUCCCGGUUCGAGUCCGGGCCAGGGCACCA
rnacentral:tRNA from 1 species